rnacentral:lncRNA from 1 species
AAAGAACGACAAUGAGCAAAUUUAAACAAAGAAACUAACAUUACUAAAUUAUCUAAAACAAGACAAAUAAGUUGUAUGAACAAAAUAAAUUAAACCAACUAGGAAUUUCAAGACUCAACAAGAAAAAUAUACCCAAGCACGGAAGCAACAGUGAAAGGUUAGAGCAAACCUUGAUGCAUAUUCAAAUGUCGGGAAAACAAUUCCAGCAACUACCACAGAUGAAUUGCGCAACAACGAUCAAAUUCGAACAAGACCAACACACUGCACCUCGAACGGAACCGCGAAAUAAGCCUCCGCGCUGACCCACUUCAAAUCGAUCCUCGGAUGUAAACUUCGGUUGAGCUUAAGGACGUUUCCUUUGGUAUUGAGUUACAGGACUUUCUAACAACUUCGACUCGUCAUCAACAACAAGAUUACAACUGGAAACUAACAAACAAGAGAACUCGACGAACCUCAAACCAUGAACAAAACCAACAAAUGAUAUCUCGAUGGAAUUAGACUAGACUACCUUGACUCGCCGAAAAUAUACUUUGAAAGAAAAGGAAAGUAAGAGAGGACGAGCUAUUUUGUCGUGUAAUUUUAGCUGAAAUUUGACUGCUUUCUAAGGUGGAUUCACCGAAUUUUUGGGAUGGAUUUGAGGUAUUUUGAAGCUGGUUCGGAGGCUGUUCUUGCUGGAUUUUUGAGCUGCAAUGGUGGCGUGACGACGUGAGAUCGACGAUGGUGAAAAACGAAGCAGCAACUGCUCGUCAGAGUUGGACGCCGCUGCUGCUCGUUCAGUUCAUGUUUGAUGCUUCAGUUGAGGACGACGAGAGCUUGUGCGUGAGGGCUAGAGUCAAGAGAGGUCGUUUGGUGUGGCGGAUGAAGGUGUGUGUUGAAGAUGGAGGCUCUAGGGGGUUUUUUUUUAUUGUCUAAGGUAUUGGUGUUAAGAAGAAGGAUGGAUGCUAGGCUUUUGGUUUUCGGCGAACAGCGUCACUGGCGGGGCGGCUUCAGGUGGUGGCGGCUGGUGUUUUUAAUAGAGACUAGGGUUUUUUUUCCUUUUUCCCGUUUUCUCUGUGUGUGUCCAUGAAGAAGAAGACCAUUUUUCUUAAAAAUCUCAUGGGUUUUUCUUCUUUUUUAUUGGAAAUUAAUAUAGG